rnacentral:tRNA from 1 species
UGGGAUGUAGCCGAACGGUAGAGGCGGCGGUCUUUGAAAUCGUGACCCUUGUAGGUUCGAAUCCUACCAUCCCAG